rnacentral:rRNA from 1 species
AUGAACGCUGGCGGCGUGCCUAACACAUGCAAGUCGAGCGGCAGCGAGGGGUGCUUGCACCCUGUCGGCGAGCGGCGGACGGCUGAGUAACGCGUGGGAACGUGCCCCAAAGUGAGGAAUAACUGCCCGAAAGGGUAGCUAAUACCGCAUAUUAUCUUCGGAUCAAAGGAUUUAUCCGCUUUGGGAGCGGCUCGCGUCGGAUUAGGUAGUUGGUGAGGUAAUGGCUCACCAAGCCGACGAUCCGUAGCUGGUCUGAGAGGAUGACCAGCCAGACUGGAACUGAGACACGGUCCAGACUCCUGCGGGAGGCAGCAGUGAGGAAUCUUCCACAAUGGGCGAAAGCCUGAUGGAGCAACGCCGCGUGCAGGACGAAGGCCUUCGGGUUGUAAACUGCUUUUAUAAGUGAGGAAUAUGACGGUAACUUAUGAAUAAGGAUCGGCUAACUACGUG